rnacentral:lncRNA from 1 species
GCACCACUUCCAUGUCUGAAAGCAUGAUAUCUACACUCUACGCGUGUUAUCCUGUUUAAAAGUGCGUGAUUUCCAUAACGUAGUAAUUCUUCCCUUAUAAACUACUACCAGAACAUUUGUUACGAAUCACGAAGUCCCUUAAGAUGUAAGAUCUCUAUCCUAAACUUAGCCAGUGGUUAAUAUUCUACAUAUAUUGGAUCCAAUUCGAUCAUUCGACUAUUUGGUUCUUGCAUUCAAUAAACAAUGGCGAGGAUAUUGAUCGCAAUUCUCUCAGUAAAUAUAGAGACAUUGAGGUGAAUAAGCGUAUUAACUGAAUUGACAACGGGAAGAAGCAAGCUUUACUGCUCGCCUCGAUGGUUGUCUGUUCGAAUAUACAUAUAAUUGAUUUGACUUAAUAAUAAAUACAUUCUAUCAACGUGCGUGAUUACGCAAUUACGUUUGGAUUAAAUAUGGAACAAUUAAUUUAAACACACGUGGUGCGCGCGAUUUUCACACUAGCGUAAAAUUUGAAACCAAUACGAAAAUCGGAUACAUGGCCACCGAUCGAGACCUGUUUGGCCAUAUAUCCUGGGAGUUGACUUUCCGAGAAUUUGCCUACAUUAUGUGACUCCUGCUCACUUCGCUGUCCGUGCAUGAAAGGCAAGAGGGAGAAGUAGACAUUGCGAGUGAAACAGAAUAGGUAGAGUGUAAUAAGAUACUGUAGAAUCA